rnacentral:rRNA from 1 species
UACGGAGGAUCCGAGCGUUAUCCGGAUUUAUUGGGUUUAAAGGGUGCGCAGGCGGAAGAUUAAGUCGGCGGUGAAAUUUUGCAGCUCAACUGUAAAAGUGCCAUUGAUACUGGUUUUCUUGAGUGUGGAUGAAGUAGGCGGAAUUUGUGGUGUAGCGGUGAAAUGCAUAGAUAUCACGAGGAACUCCGAUUGCGCAGGCAGCUUACUAAACCAUAACUGACGCUCAGGCACGAAGGCGUGGGGAUCAAACAGGAUUAGAUACCCCGGUA